rnacentral:rRNA from 1 species
CGAGUACGACCUCCUACGGGAGGGAAGUGGUAGAUGUCAUGCUUCCUAGAAAAGCUCUAAACACCAUAAACAGUUAUUGCCUGUACCCGAAACCGACACAGGUAGGGAGGUUGAGUAAACCAAGGGGCGCGAGAUAACUCUCUCUAAGGAACUCGGCAAAAUUGCCCCGUAACUUCGGAAGAAGGGGUGCCACCGCAAGGUGGUCGCAGUGAAGAGUCCCAGGCGACUGUUUACCAAAAACACAGGUCUCCGCUAAGUCGCAAGACGACGUAUGGGGGCUGACGCCCGCCCAGUGCUGGAAGGUUAAGGAAGACGGUCAGGAGCAAUCUGAAGCUGGCGACUGAAGCCCCAGUGAACGGCGGCCGUAACUAUAACGGUCCUAAGGUAGCGAAGUUCCUUGUCGGGUAAGUUCCGACCCGCACGAAAGGCGUAACGAUCUGGGAGCUGUCUCGGAGAGAGACUCGGCGAAAUAGAAUUGUCUGUGAAGAUACGGACUACCUGCACCUGGACAGAAAGACCCUAUGGAGCUUUACUAUAGCCUGGAAUUGUGUUCGGGCUUCGCUUACGCAGGAUAGGUGGGAGGCUUGGAAGUUCUGCUUGUGGGCAGGAUGGAGCCAACGGUGAGAUACCACUUUAGCGAGGCUAGAAUUCUAACCUUUACCCGUCAUCCGGGAAAGAGACAGUUUCAGGGGGGUAGUUUGACUGGGGCGGUCGCCUCCUAAAAGUAACGGAGGCGCACAAUGGUUCCCUCAGGCUGGUUGGAAAUCAGCCAUAGAGUGCAAAGGCAUAAGGGAGCUUGACUGUAUGACCUACAAGUCGAGCAGGGUGGAAACACGGUCUUAGUGAUCCGACGGUUCCGUAUGGAAGGGCCGUCGCUCAACGGAUAAAAGUUACUCUAAGGAUAACAGGCUGAUCUCCCCCAAGAGUCCACAUCGACGGGGAGGUUUGGCACCUCGAUGUCGGCUCAUCGCAACCUGGGGCGGAAGUACGUCCCAAGGGUUCGGCUGUUCGCCGAUUAAAGCGGUACGUGAGCUGGGUUCAGAACGUCGUGAGACAGUUCGGUCCAUAUCCGGUGCAGGCGCAAGAAGAUUGAGAGGAUUCCUCCCUAGUACGAGAGGACCGGGAGGGACGCACCGCUGGUGUACCUGUUAUCGUGCCAACGGUAAACGCAGGGUAGCCAAGUGCGGAGUGGAUAACCGCUGAAAGCAUCUAAGUGGGAAGCCCACCUCAAGAUGAGUCUUCUCAUGGAGUUAUCCAGUAAGGUCACGGGCAGAACACCCGUUGAUAGGCGUUAAGUGGAAGUUCUGUGAGGAAUGAAGCUGAGGCGCACUAACAGACCGAGGGCUUGACC